CAAGUCCCUGUCAGGUAAGGUCUAACCAGCCACCUGUAUCGAGUGUUGCGCCGAUGCUGGCGACAGCAAAGGUGAAGCGUACACAGAGAAUUAUAUAGGCCAUAGGGGAGACUGUAAUCCCUGAAGCAUAUUCAGCCUCGUAAACUGUGGGUCUAGAAAUAGACAAAAUGCAGAUGACGACGUGUUUAACGUCACGGAAGUCAAUACAAGAGAAUCGUUUAAUGGUGAGAUUCUUAAGGGUCUGUCGGGAUCAGAGAACG
rfam:Clostridium formicaceticum strain ATCC 27076, complete genome.